CAUCAUAGCUGGUAAAUCAACUUCAACAGAUGAAAACUUCACACCAUGGCUGGCAAAUGAAUGCUGAGCUUCAUGGAACAUAUGGGAGGAGUGAAGAAGUGCCUUAGAAGGGAUGCAUCCAACGUUGAGGCAGGUGCCACCGAGAGUUCCACGUUUCUCGAUGCAAGUGGUUUUGAGUCCGAGCUGAGCGGCCUUGAUAGCAGCGACGUAGCCGCCGGGACCGCCGCCGAUGACAACGACGUCGUUCUCCUCAGAUCCCGAGGAGGCGAAGCCACGAGAGAAGCUGGUGAGCGAGAAAGAGUACCUGAGAGCAUCAGGGUUGGAAUUGGAGAAAUUUCUAGCAAGAAGGUAUGCCUUUCUUCUCGCGAAGCUUGCCAUCGCCAUUUUUUAUUGUUCUGGUAUCUACACAGUGUGAGUUCUCUUUCUAUUUUGUAUCAUGACGAUGAGACUGCGGCUUUUGACAAUUCACCGGCCCAAGAAUAUUUUACCUUUUUUCUUUUUUAUUUUUUUGUUUUAUUUAUAGUUCAGAGCAAUCUGGUGUAUUCGUGCGUCGGUUACAAGUGAGAAUCUGAUGCAAUCAAAGCCUUUCGUUUGCCUCGGUCAAUUUGACUGGCAAUUUUCUUCUGUAUCAUAAAAUGAACGGAUC
rnacentral:misc_RNA from 1 species